rnacentral:rRNA from 1 species
GUUGUUCGGAUUUACUGGGCGUAAAGGGCGCGUAGGCGGCGCGUAAAGUCGGACAUGAAAUCAUUGGGCUUAACCCAAUGGCUGUGCCCGAUACUUGCGUGCUAGAGUGCGGGAGAGGCAAUCGGAAUUCUCGGUGUAGCGGUGAAAUGCGUAGAUAUCGAGAGGAACUCCGGUGACGAAGGUGGUUGCUGGACCGACACUGACGCUGAGGCGCGAAAGCUAGGGGAGCAAACGGGAUUAGAUACCCCGGUAGUCCUAGCCCUAAACGAUGAAUACUUGGUGUGCGAGUUUUUAGUACUCGCGUGUCGUAGCUAACGCGAUAAGUAUUCCGCCUGGGGAGUAUGGUCGCAAGAUUGAAACCCAAAGGAAUUGACGGGGACCCGCACAAGCGGUGGAGCAUGUGGUUUAAUUCGACGCAACGCGAAGAACCUUACCUGAGUUCAAGAUACGAUGAAGCGCCGGAAUCGGCGUGGCCGCAAGGAGUCGUAUCAGGUGCUGCAUGGCUGUCGUCAGCUCGUGUCGUGAGAUGUUGGGUUAAGUCCCGCAACGAGCGCAACCCUUGUCACCAGUUGCUAGCAGUUCGGCUGAGUACUUUGGUGAGACCGCUGAUGAUGAAUCAGAGGAUGGUGGGGAUGACGUCAAGUCCUCAUGGCCCUUACGCUCAGGGCUACACACGUGCUACAAUGGUGAAUACAAAGAGAUGCAAACCCGCGAGGGGGAGCGAACCUCAUAAAUUUCACCUCAGUUCGGAUUGCAGUCUGCAACUCGACUGCAUGAAGCUGGAAUCGCUAGUAA